UCAUUUCUUACAGCUUAUUAAUCCAGUGUUGCUGAAUCUUCUUUCUUUGUGAUUUUUUUAUUACCUCUUUUAUAUUCACAGGAUGAAUAGUCCCUGUGAAUCAUCAAAAUUCACAUUAUUUUUAUUUGCCAGACUCUAUUGCUACAGAUAUGCCAUGCCUGGAUGCUGAUUGGUGCUGUGAAGGAACAGUGCUGUUUGCUGUGUGCAUAUGGUAUCCCUGAUUGCUUUUAAUCACUGACCUAUGGGCUGUUAUCCAAAAGAUUAGCAACAUGAAAAGGAUUCUGCUGUGCUGCUCAGACUAUCAGGACAAGUUAGGCAUCUAAUCUGCAGAGAGGCUCCUGUAAAUUUUGUUUGUCACCUUCUGGCUUCUGAGGUACUUGAAUAGCUACAUAAAUCUUACCUUUGAUCUAGAGCUCUUCCCUCAUAUAAUGUUACAGCAGCACCUACUCAACCAUGCUCAAGGCACCAUGCAUAUUCAGUAAGAGACCUGUCCCAUCCUGGAUAGCUUAAAAGACUUCUUUAUCUACAUGGGAAAAAAAAUUAAAGAAAACAAAAGGGAAGGAUAAAAAAGGGACUGGAAAUAGAAAAGAAGCACACAGGUGACAGAACUGUGAAAUGGCAUCUGAGGAAAGAAUCACCAAAUACAUGCUCUUUCCUGGAAAAGAAAUCAAUUAAGGUGGCCAGAGGAAAGUGAUCUAUAAAAUCACGAGUUACAUGGAGAGGAUAAACAGAGAAUGAUCAGUCAGUGUUCACUGCUGCAGCACAAUGACAUCAAAUCAAACUAGCAGUUGGCAGACUGAAAGCAGACAAAGAGACCCAUUCUCACACAAAGGGGAGGAAGGUAAGACACAAACAAUGCUGCAAGAUACUGGGGGGAGUGUGGUGUCCAAAGGCUUCCCCAGCUUCACCCUGACAGACUGACAGAAGAGCCAUAUGCUAGGGAGUGAUUGGAUACUGAGCGUUUCUGGCUUGAGCAGCCCCUGAACUUCAAAUGACUGGAGCUGAGGAGAGAAUUCUUGGCAAGUUCUGCUGUGUUUGUCCUGUCCUUAAACUCAUCUGUAAGCUUUUUCUCAUUGUUAGAGAAAGAUUUUGGAUUGGCCCAGAAAAGGCUUUUUAUGUUCUUAUGUUACAUUAAAUAAACAAAUCAAGGACAUUAAAUUAAGCAAAUUUGAAUCUAUCUGCGUCAUAGGCCAGCAAAAUAACUGGAAUCAAGAUUUGUACAAUGGCUGUGCUCCAUCACAGCUGCAUCUGCUCCAGCAAAUAAAAGUGACCAGAAAAGGUUCUUUGGCCCUGAAUCAAAUGGUAGGACAGGGCCAUUGUCCAUACAGCUGAAUUAUUUUACCUGCUGAAAUCAUAGAUAUGACAUCCAGACUGGCCAAUGGGACUAUUCUUGGUCCCCAUGAGUUCUUGAGAAUGAUCAUAAAGUUUGGAAAACCUGAUCUUAUUUUUCUCUUGCCAGGACCUAGCUAUGAAAAAAAACAGAGGAAAAACAUCUUUUCUGCAUCAGGUACCUUUGUAACCAAUGGUCUCUGAAAGUGUGUUUCUAAACACAGGAUGUUUUUGUGUUGCAGAAUAAAUCAAGUCUCCUGUAUUGCAAGUGCUUGGCAUGACUCAUGUAAUUGGUCCUGCCUGUAGCAGCCUUGGUGAUAAUUAACCUGUGCAGUCAAUCCUAGUGCCCAGUCCCACCUUCUGUAGCUGUGGUUACAUCCUUUACACAGAAGCACUCAGAAGAUAUAUUAAUAAUUUCAGUGGCAUUAAAAAUCCUUAUAUACACACAGAGAUGACAAAAUGAUGUUGUAGUGCCACUGUAAGGCUCCAGGUGCUUGAAUUAAUGUCUUCCUACAGAAACUUGUGUGUGAGUUCUCAGAGAGUGGAAAACAGUGAGGGGUAAUAAUUCUCUAAAAAUUCUGCUGCUUUUGCCAGACUAGAUUACGAUAAUUUCUGUUAUUGAGUGGGAGGAGGGGAGAUAAAGAAUCCUAACUUUUUUGUUUUCCUUCUUAAAAAAAUUAAAAACAUAAAAUUAAAUUUUAAAAAAAAAUCUGUGGGGAGCAAAGAAAUAUGGUUGUUAUCUGUCAGCUGUAUACAUGCAGUAGUGUUAUUUGAUAUUCCUGGAACCAGAAACAUCCUGUUUAAAAAAUGGAAAAAAAAAAAAAAAAAGAAAGGAAUUACUACACUGUCUCCAUUUUUUCUACUCCCCAAUCAAAGGAAAGUACUUAAAAAGCGUGAACAUUAUGUUUAAAAAUAGUUCUGCUGAAAUAUGCCCAGAGAUCAGAAAAAACUUCCAUAUUUGGAAAAACCUACAGUAUGUUCUGCCAAAGUAUUUGGCUUUUCUUUAGGUCAAGGCAACCCUGGGCUUUGCUGUUGUUCCCAUAAUGUGCUAUAGACGGGGUGAAAGUGCUCUCCUGUCAUUUCCAGUUUACAGUACAGUUUGUGCUGGCUGCUAUGGGACAUGCCUUUGCAACCAGUCCUGCUUUGAAAACCUCAGUAACUGCAAACUCAUAUUCUCCCGUGCUGUACUUGUAUUUCCUGAAUAUUUCUGCUACCAGUAGUCAUGGCCCACCAUUCCUGGGGUGCUGCCCAUGCUUUUGAGACCUUUUGGCCAAGGCAAGUCAAGUACAAAAGAAGCUGAAGCUCAAGCUUGCAUUGGAGGGCUCUGAUGAACUCACAGAGUCUCAUAAAAUGAAGGACAGAGAGUUAAAGAUUUGCUUUCAAGCUGGAAAAAUGCAUCCUGUAAAUCCUACGGCUGGGUUUAUAGGGACUUUGUUUUGUGGGCAAAAUAAAAGUUAGCAAAUAAAAUUUGCUUCAAGGAUUAAGCCUCUAAUCCUUGGCUCUCCUUUGGCCAAUAAAGUGUUUGAUGGAUAUUGUAAGUCUACAUCAAAAUGUGUGUCUCAGCACUGACUUAGCCAGGCCCCAGAGCAAACCAGAAAACCUCACCUGCAGCUUGGAGCCAUGUCACCAGGCAAAUCAGUGAGCCCAAAAUACAGUUUCAGGAAUAUUCAUGUGUUACAUAAAAAUUUUACUAGUUGGUAAGUGUAGCAGAAGUAUCCUGGGUUUAAUUAAAAAUAUGGUGUGUCUCUAGUGAAAACCCUUGUUUCAGGGGGGUGCCCUGCAGAAAUUCAGUGUAGCUCAUCACAAGACUUCCCAGUGAGCCUUUCUUCAAUAACCUAGUGAGCACACACUGAAUCUCUGAAUUCAUUUUUCUGGGAAAGUCAUAUUCAUUUAUGAUAAAACUGAGCCCUGUGCAGCUGUCAGUGCAAAUGUUGAGCUUCUCUCUGUUGGGUUUUAUAUUCCUGUACCUAGAGAAAAGUCAGCUUGGGUGAAGAUUCAGUGUUUUUUUUCUGAGGGGGAAAAUUAUAAGUACUUGGUAUAAUGACUCUGGGUUAUCUCUGACUUGAUGACUGAUGACAAUCCAAAUGUAAGAAAAUAAUGUAAUGUCUUAUCUGUCAAGAGAAAUGAAUUGCUUUUAAAAUCUUAGGUAAACUAUGUAUUUUACAGAACAAAAUGAGAUUAUGGGUUAAGUUAAACUGGGACUUGGUACUAUGCAAUUACAUGAAUUUACACCAGCAGUAUCUCUGGGGUUUUUCUGAG